GACGUAGGGGGCAAGCGUUGUCCGGAAUGACUGGGCGUAAAGGGCGUGUAGGCGGUCCGUCACGUAGCGGUUUUCAGCCGCCGGCUUAACCGGCGGAGGGCGGCUAAACGGGCGAGCUGGAGGGCAGGAGAGGUGCACGGAAUUCCUGGUGGAGCGGUGAAAUGCGUAGAGAUCAGGAAGAACACCCGUGGCGAAGGCGGUGCACUGGCCUGGCCCUGACGCUGAGGCGCGACAGCGUGGGGAGCGAACGGG
rnacentral:rRNA from 1 species